UACGAAGGGUGCAAGCGUUACUCGGAAUUACUGGGCGUAAAGCGUGCGUAGGUGGUGAGUUAAGUCUGUCGUGAAAGCCCCGGGCUCAACCUGGGAAUGGCGAUGGAUACUGGCUCGCUAGAGUGUGGCAGAGGGGGGUGGAAUUCCACGUGUAGCAGUGAAAUGCGUAGAUAUGUGGAGGAACACCGAUGGCGAAGGCAGCCCCCUGGGCUAACACUGACGCUCAUGCACGAAAGCGUGGGGAGCAAACAGG
rnacentral:rRNA from 1 species